rnacentral:tRNA from 1 species
GCAGUCGUGGCCGAGUGGUUAAGGUGAUGGACUAGAAAUCCAUUGGGGUCUCCCCGCAUAGGUUCGAAUCCUGUCGACUGCG